UACAGAGGUGGCAAGCGUUGUUCGGAAUUACUGGGCGUAAAGCGCACGUAGGCGGCUUGGUAUGUCGGGUGUGAAAUCCCCGGGCUCAACCUGGGAACUGCAUCCGAAACUGCCUUGCUCGAGUAUGGGAGAGGGAAGUGGAAUUUCCGGUGUAGCGGUGAAAUGCGUAGAUAUCGGGAGGAACACCAGUGGCGAAGGCGGCUUCCUGGCCUGUUCUUGACGCUGAGGCGCGAAAGCUAGGGGAGCAAACGGG
rnacentral:rRNA from 1 species